GAUGAACGCUGGCGGCGUGCCUAAUACAUGCAAGUCGAGCGAACGGACGAGAAGCUUGCUUCUCUGCUGUUAGCGGCGGACGGGUGAGUAACACGUGGAUAACCUACCUAUAAGACUGGGAUAACUUCGGGAAACCGGAGCUAAUACCGGAUAAUAUUUUGAACCGCAUGGUUCAAAAGUGAAAGACGGUCUUGCUGUCACUUAUAGAUGGAUCCGCGCUGCAUUAGCUAGUUGGUAAGGUAACGGCUUACCAAGGCAACGAUGCAUAGCCGACCUGAGAGGGUGAUCGGCCACACUGGAACUGAGACACGGUCCAGACUCCUACGGGAGGCAGCAGUAGGGAAUAUUCCGCAAUGGGCGAAAGCCUGACGGAGCAACGCCGCGUGAGUGAUGAAGGUCUUCGGAUCGUAAAACUCUGUUAUUAGGGAAGAACAUAUGUGUAAGUAACUGUGCACAUCUUGACGUUACCUAAUCAGAAAGCCACGGCUAACUACGUG
rnacentral:rRNA from 1 species